rnacentral:rRNA from 1 species
AUACGAAGGGGGCAAGAGUUGUUCGGAAUAACUGGGCGUAAAGCGCACGUAGGCGGAAUGUUAAGUUAGAGGUGAAAUCCCAGGGCUCAACCCUGGAACGGCCUUUAAUACUGGCAAUCUAGAGACCGAGAGAGGUGAGUGGAAUUCCGAGUGUAGAGGUGAAAUUCGUAGAUAUUCGGAGGAACACCAGUGGCGAAGGCGGCUCACUGGCUCGGUACUGACGCUGAGGUGCGAAAGCGUGGGGAGCAAACAGGAUUAGAAACCCUAGUAGUCC